rnacentral:lncRNA from 10 species
GACAUUUAUUAUUCCCGGACUCGUUAUUUUUCCUAAUGAACGUUUCUUUCUCUCCUUACGCUUAUCGGUUUUAACACAUGCCAUUUACCACCUCCCACCCGCUGAUUAGGGGGCUGGAAACGGGCUUACAUCACUGUCAGGGCAGGAGAGGAAAAAUUGCAAAGUAAACGGCAAGAUGUUGCCGCGAUAGCGAGCAGGAAAAUCUGCAGUGCUUAGGAGAAUGCGGGACCCAAAUGAAAUUCCGCGUCUCCCCGCGGCGGGUGCCGCAGAGCCACCGGCGAGGGGCGGGCGCCACCACGUGACUGAUUAUUCAAAUGGACCGAUGAUUAACUCGGUUUAUAUUGAUGCAAAUAAUCCUGCCGGAGCCUGCAACGGCUAAUGCAUUUUGGAACUGUGGUUUUUCCAUUGAUAGCACAAAAUAUUGUAGAGGAAAGCCAUUUUCAUAAUAUUAAUAAUGGAAUUACAGAAUCAGGUCACUUAAAGGAACGGCGCUGACUCAGCGACAGCAGCGUGGAGGUUGAAUGUGGGGAUUAGCACUGAGCAAAACGAAUACAAACCUUUUGCAGCGAUCUCAUUGCAUAAAACGCACAUCCCCUUCCCUUUUUCUUUUUAAAAGAAAAAGAGCUUCAGAAAUGACCGUGGCUAAGUACAAUUCUCAGAUGAAUUUAUUACAAAGAAAGAAACUAUCCAGUGAGCUUAGGGAGCCCCCAGUAAAAUGUUUUUCCUUUUUUCCCCUUUGAUUAAAUUCCUUUGAUUAAAUAGUGGGUUUACCUUCCUUGCUGCCCGUGCCCUGGUUUAAUGUCCCAGAACAAUGUCUGCAAAUGCUUUCUAAAUGAAUGAUUCGAAUUGCAAAUGAAGAUCAAUGAAUGCCCUCUAAAAGAAUGAGUAUAUUUCUCAAUGAAGAUCUAGGGCUGAGAGGAAAUUCUGCGCAAAUCUCUCAGGGUCUUCUGCUGUGUGCUGAAGCCGAAGUGAGCUCCUGGGAUCCUCGUUGGGUGGGAACGGGGGAAGACAGAUGGCAGGGUCCAAGGAGAUUGGCUCUUCCAUUAGAGGUAGUCUGCCGGUCUGCACUGAUUACUGCAGCUCGUAGCUGCUUUAUCUCAUUAUAAAGCCAGCAGUAGUCCACAGGUAGAGCCAUGUUGCAUGAGAUCAUGGGCCAGAUCAGUCUUCUUGGUUGUAUCUGUCUCCUUCCAUUGUUACCAGUGGUGAAUCUGGACUGGUCUGCAGCAACUUGAUCCUUGUCUCCUGGAAUGUGUGAGGGGCGUUUGGGAGAGUGGUGAGCAAGCGGGUAAUCUGGAGGCACCGAGAGGACAGGCAUCUCCUGGAAAUAUUUCUGUUGGCGUCCUGGCCAAUGCUCCCCCACUUUUUACAAUUUAACAGUUUUAGUCUUAUAGAAAUUCAGCAGAAAAUACAGAGAUUGCAGCAUAUUCUCCGUGGCCUCUUCUCUCCAGUUUCCCCUAUUAUUUUUGUUUUGUUUUUGAGAAGGAU